ACCCGCUGAACUUAAGCAUAUCAGUAAGCGGAGGAAAAGAAAACAACAGUGAUUCCCUCAGUAACUGCGAGUGAAGCGGGAAGAGCCCAACGUCGAAUCGCUUUUGCCCUUAACCGGGUGGCGAGGUAAUCGCGAGCGAACUGUGACGUAUGGACCCAUUGCACCGAGUUCAGUCGUACCACCAAAGUUUACCUGGAAAGGUGCGCCAUAGAGGGUGAGAGCCCCGUGUGUGGUGGUAUGAGUGUUGUGUGAGACUGAGCUUGCUUGCAUCAAAGCAAGUGUGGCAGUGGGUUCCCUGAGUCGGGUUGUUUGGGAUUGCAGCCCUAAGCGGGUGGUAAACUCCACCCAAGGCUAAAUACUGGCACAAGACCGAUAGCGAACAAGUACCGUGAGGGAAAGUUGAAAAGCAUUCCGAAAGGAAGGUCAAACAGGACGUGAAACCGUUAAAGGGGAAGCGGAUGGAGGGGUCGAAAUAUCCCACCCGGUCCAGCGUUGUGUGCCUAUGGUACAUGCAGCGUUUAUGCCGAACUCUAAGGUGAUGGAUGAGCCGAAACAGUCGUUGCGAGUACGGCCAAGGCAGGCUGGGCAGUUGGUCGUUAUCAUCCGCUACUUAGCCCGUCAAAAGGUGUUAGUAUGUGGUCCAUGGUGACGAUCGGCUGCUACCUGUAUGUUGUACGCGUGUUUGAACCGCAACAUUGACUUGGUGCUGGGAGGUAACACUUCUUAACCGAAAGAAUCGUUCGUGAUGACUGAGAAUUUGCGUCGUUGAGACGGGGCUGUGCGCCUCUCUCGGUGUUUCUGCAUCGAGGCUUGAGGCAUUGUGCUGCGUGAAGUGUGCGUAUGGCCGAGUAUUGGCCGGUCAAAUGCUCUUCCGGGUAGAUGGCCGGUCGCUUUCCUCCGGUGAGGCUCUCAUCGUGCGGGGUGGAUGCAGUCUGGCCCCGGGGGUCUCCCUCGGGUGUCCUGGCUGUAUCCACUGCGGUGGUGGGCGAGACCUCGCACGCUCUGCCGUGGGAACGCGAGUAAAAUCGCGGUCCGUUAUACCACGCCGGAAAAUACUCGAAAAGCUGUUACACGCGUAUCACCGUCGCCAGUCAUGCGACACGCGCACUUUUCUGAUGAGUACAGCUGAUUUUCGGCGAGACACCAAUCCAUCCGACCCGUCUUGAAACACGGACCAAGGAGCCUAACAUAUGCGCGAGUCAAAGGGUGACUGAAACCCAUAAUGUGUUUUAAUGACACCGGGUAUACACCGGGGUGUGUACCAACACCUCGGUACCUGAGAUUGACAAGUGAUGAGGCGUAAUGAAAGUGACCACCAGCUGUGGUGAUGGGAUGGGAUCCCUCUGUGAAUUCAGGGAGCGUCCGGGGUUAAAGCCGGGCGAGCUCUCCAGAGGGCGCACCAUCAGCCGGUCCGCGCGUAGGUGCGGAUUGAGCGAGAGCGCAUAUGCUAGAACCCGAAAGAUGGUGAACUAUUCCUGGGUAGGGCGAAGCCGGAGGAAACUCCGGUGGAGGCUCGCAGCGAUUCUGACGUGCAAAUCGAUCGUCAAACCUGGGUAUAGGGGCGAAAGACUAAUCGAACCAUCUAGUAGCUGGUUCCUUCCGAAAUAUCCCUCAGGAUCGCUGAGACUCGACCAAACAAUGCUGGAUUGAAUGAAGGCGUGGGUGUAAAAAGCCUGCGCCUUCAGCUAACGCAGCACGGUAGGUUCAUCGGGUAGAGCUAAUGAUUAGAGCUAUUUGGGAGCUACUGCUCCGGAAACUAUAAUCAAACUGCCAACCGGUGAGUCAUCGUCUAGUGAUUUCUUUGGUGUUCCCGAUCGGUGCCAAACUGAGUGGUUGGUGUGCGCACUGAUCACCACCGGUCGGGUGGCCGGGAGACGCGUGGGCCCGGUGUGCUGGAAGUCGCAGGCCUGGGCAUUCGUGUCUAGGUCGGUGGCCCCGGUGCGUGCUGUGUGGCGCCGGGGUGUACGAAAGUGGCCCUCACGGCGGAGGCUGCAUGGUGAACCGAAGCUUUUCAGUCUCUUGGCAGCAGUAAGAUGCGCACGAGUGUGAAUCACUGACCAAGGUCAUUCUUAGGUGGUAAAACACUGAGGAGUGGCACCGCGUGAGAGAAAAUUGAACGCGGGAGGUGAAUACCAGAGUCUCAAGUGGGCCGUUUCUGGUAAGCAGAACUGGCGAUGCGGGAUGAA
rnacentral:rRNA from 1 species